rnacentral:rRNA from 1 species
AUGGUCAAGCAGCUUCAGUUGAAGUAUGAGAAUGCCUUGUCUGAAUUGAAUUCUCAAUUGACUGACGCAAAGACCCGGCUAGCGAGUCAGGAGUCAGAAAUCAAAUCUUCCACCUCCAAACUACAAAUAAGCCUUUCUGCAACGGAAAAUUUGAAGAUCAGCUUUGCUGCCAAGGAGAAGACUUGGGAAAAUGACAAAAUACUUCUGACCCGACGAGCUGAGACAGCCGAAACAACUCUGAAAGAAAUUUCAACAGAGCUGAACGGGUUAAAGGGCCAAGUGUCUCAGAUGGUAGCUGCUAUCUUUGGUCCGUGA